AGCAAGUUGGGGAGGAAAGGGUUUAUUCAGCUCACACCUUCCACAUUGCUGUUGAUCACCAAAGGAAAUCUGGACUGGAACUCAAGCAGGUCAGGAAGCAGGAGCUGAUUCAGAGGCCACAGAGGUCCACCGAUGGCUUUGGGAAAGGAGUGACUUAAAGCCUCCCCUGCUUCUGCGAUGAACUCCGGACAGGACUGGCUGUGAGCUGUGGACAGCACCUGGCCGUGCUCACCUGCUAAUGGAUCAAUGCCCUAUGGCUCUGACAUCUGCAACAUCCUGGGAUCUGCAUUGCAACUGGACUUCACCUUUACAGCUUCACAAAUAUGUCUUUAGGGGCUCUCUGCAGGAAUCGAGUCUUCAUGAUGCCCUCACUCUCGCAUCUCUCCCAAAUCUAAGCCAAUACUAUGGAUGCUGCUGCCAAAUUUUGCUGUCAGCAGGAGAUGUAGCCUUGCCAACUUGAAAGCACAUAGUAGGACUUUCACAGGAUCUCUCCAGGAGCUGAUGUGAAGAGACAUUUCAUUCACAAGGAAAGAUUAUCCAAACACAUACGUGAGAAGCAAGCCGGUGAAAAUGGAAACCGGCUGCAGCAAUACGCAGCUACAAAGGAGGGUCCUCUUAGAGUGGGAGGCCCUUGGGAGGGAUGGCUACGAGCCACAGCCUUCUCUGACCAUAGCUUUCUAACAAGAAGAGACAGCGUGACAGCAAGACUGAAGGCCUAACAGUGGGAAGUUACAUUAAAGCGAUGACUCCAUAACUUUCUCCUUAC